rnacentral:tRNA from 1 species
GCCGGCGUAACUCAGUUGGUAGAGUAUCUCACUCGUAAUGAGAAAGUCGUCCGUUCGAAUCGGAUCGCCGGCUCCA